rnacentral:rRNA from 1 species
UACGUAGGAGGCAAGCGUUGUCCGGAAUUACUGGGCGUAAAGCGCGUGUAGGUGGUGGGACAAGUCUGCUGUGAAAGCGCCUGGCUUAACCGGGCGAGGUCGGCGGAAACUGUUCGACUCGAGGACGGUAGGAGGGGGGUGGAAUUCCCGGUGUAGUGGUGAAAUGCGUAGAGAUCGGGAGGAACACCUGUGGCGAAGGCCGGCCCCCUGGGCCGGCCCUGACACUGAGACGCGAAGGCGUGGGGAGCGAACGGG